rnacentral:sRNA from 1 species
GCGAUUAUUCGCACCAUUCCUCGAAUGGUGGGUUAGCGCGCGUCGACAGGUAGACAACACAACCCGCCCACCGAGGCGGGUUUU